rnacentral:rRNA from 1 species
AUUGAACGCUGGCGGCAGGCCUAACACAUGCAAGUCGAGCGGAUGAAGGGAGCUUGCUCCUGGAUUCAGCGGCGGACGGGUGAGUAAUGCCUAGGAAUCUGCCUGGUAGUGGGGGAUAACGUCCGGAAACGGGCGCUAAUACCGCAUACGUCCUGAGGGAGAAAGUGGGGGAUCUUCGGACCUCACGCUAUCAGAUGAGCCUAGGUCGGAUUAGCUAGUUGGUGGGGUAAAGGCCUACCAAGGCGACGAUCCGUAACUGGUCUGAGAGGAUGAUCAGUCACACUGGAACUGAGACACGGUCCAGACUCCUACGGGAGGCAGCAGUGGGGAAUAUUGGACAAUGGGCGAAAGCCUGAUCCAGCCAUGCCGCGUGUGUGAAGAAGGUCUUCGGAUUGUAAAGCACUUUAAGUUGGGAGGAAGGGCAGUAAGUUAAGACCUUGCUGUUUGGACGUUACCAACAGAAUAAGCACCGGCUAACUGCGU